rnacentral:rRNA from 1 species
UACGGGAAGGGCAAGCGUUAUCCGGCGUGACUGGGCGUAAAGAGUCCGUAGACGGUAAAGUAAGUUUAUUGUUAAAUGUUAAAACUUAAUUUUAAUAGAGCAAUAAAUACUGCUUUACUUUGAGUUUAAUAUAGAAAAGUAGAAUUUUAUAUGGUAGGGGUGAAAUCCGUAGAUAUAUAAAGGAAUGUCAACAGCGAAGGCA